UACGGGGGGGGCAAGCGUUGUUCGGAAUUACUGGGCGUAAAGGGCUCGUAGGCGGCCAGCUAAGUCGGAUGUGAAAUCCCCAGGCUUAACCUGGGAACUGCAUCCGAUACUGGAUGGCUUGAAUCCGGGAGAGGGAUGCAGAAUUCCAGGUGUAGCGGUGAAAUGCGUAGAUAUCUGGAGGAAUACCGGUGGCGAAGGCGGCAUCCUGGACCGGCAUUGACGCUGAGUGAGCGAAAGCCAGGGGAGCAAACGGG
rnacentral:rRNA from 1 species